CUCAUGCUAAGACAAUAGUGGGACGCGCAGGUGAGGAUAAUCCUCACUAAUUGCUUAUCGGCGACAUCAAGCCCUGACGGAGCCUGAAACCCCAACUCCCACACCUACUUGUCAAAAACUAAAGGCCUGUUAAACCGCCUUCUUUGAUGCCCUCGCGCGUAGCCUAAAGCACGCCAAGGGUAGGAGACCUGCAGCAGCAGAGUUGAACCAAGCUGAGUGACCUUCAAACAUGGAGACUGUGAAGCCAUCUAGUGGCAUAUGCAGCCCAUUGUCAUGGAUGGGAGCAAUUUCCUGAAAUUUCUCCCUCAUCAGUGGGUCCCUAUCAUGGCGUCAAAAACACUCAGCUCAUGACCAUCUUCAGACUGCUCCCUGGAGUCAACAGCCGCUGGAGGUAAAGACCUCAAUCAAAAUGAGUGGCACAUCUGAAAGUAGAAGAGAACGGCAGAUUUGCAGGAGCUUCAUUUAAUAAAGAAGCAAGGAAAGGUGUUUUAUUAAACAAUAA